UACGGAGGAUGCGAGCGUUAUCCGGAUUUACUGGGUGUAAAGGGAGCGUAGACGGUGAUGCAAGUCAGAAGUGAAAGCCCGGGGCUCAACUCCGGGACUGCUUUUGAAACUGUGUGACUGGAGUGCAGGAGAGGUAAGCGGAAUUCCUGGUGUAGCGGUGAAAUGCGUAGAUAUCAGGAGGAACACCGGCGGCGAAGGCGGCUUACUGGACUGUAACUGACGUUGAGGCUCGAAAGCGUGGGUAUCGAACAGG
rnacentral:rRNA from 1 species